AUACGGAGGGGGCUAGCGUUAUUCGGAAUUACUGGGCGUAAAGAGUUCGUAGGCGGACUGGAAAGUUAGAGGUGAAAGCCCAGGGCUCAACCCUGGAACGGCCUUUAAAACUUCCAGUCUAGAGACAGAUAGAGGUAAGGGGAAUACUUAGUGUAGAGGUGAAAUUCGUAGAUAUUAAGUGGAACACCAGUGGCGAAGGCGCCUUACUGGAUCUGUACUGACGCUGAGGAACGAAAGCGUGGGUAGCAAACGGGAUUAGAAACCCUAGUAGUCC
rnacentral:rRNA from 1 species